GACGAACCGUACAAACGUUAUUCGGAAUUACUGGGCUUAAAGGGUGCGUAGGCGGCGGUGCAAGUUGGGUGUGAAAUCCCUCGGCUCAACCGAGGAACUGCGCUCAAAACUGCAUCGCUUGAGGGAGAUAGAGGUGAGUGGAACUUAGGGUGGAGCGGUGAAAUGCGUUGAUAUCCUAAGGAACAUCAGUGGCGAAAGCGACUUCCUGGACCAAUACUGACGCUCAUGUGCGAAAGCGUAAAAAAGCAAACAAG
rnacentral:rRNA from 1 species